rnacentral:tRNA from 1 species
UAGCUCAGUAAUAGAGUGCAUGCCUUGCAUGCAUGAGGCCCUGGGUUCGAUUCCUCAG